GGGGUAUAGCUCAGUUGGCUAGAGCACCUGCCUUGCAAGCAGGGGGUCAUCGGUUCAAAUCCGAUUAUCUCC
rnacentral:tRNA from 1 species